UACGUAGGUGACAAGCGUUAUCCGGAAUUACUGGGCGUAAAGCGCACGUAGGCGGCUUACUAAGUCAGGGGUGAAAUCCUGGAGCUCAACUCCAGAACUGCCUUUGAUACUGGUGAGCUUGAGUCCGGAAGAGGUGAGUGGAACUGCGAGUGUAGAGGUGAAAUUCGUAGAUAUUCGCAAGAACACCAGUGGCGAAGGCGGCUCACUGGUCCGGUACUGACGCUGAGGUGCGAAAGCGUGGGGAGCAAACAGG
rnacentral:rRNA from 1 species